rnacentral:rRNA from 1 species
GGGCCAGACUCCUACGGGAGGCAGCAGUGAGGAAUAUUGGUCAAUGGUCGGGAGACUGAACCAGCCAAGCCGCGUGAGGGAGGAAGGUACAGAGUAUCGUAAACCUCUUUUGUCAGGGAACAAAGGCGGGGACGCGUCCCCGGAUGAGUGUACCUGAAGAAAAAGCAUCGGCUAACUCCGUGCCAGCAGCCGCGGUAAUACGGAGGAUGCGAGCGUUAUCCGGAUUUAUUGGGUUUAAAGGGGGCGUAGGAGGUCGGUAAGGGCCGGGGCCAACCCCGGGGCCACACCCCCGCCCCGCCGUUGAAACUGGCAGUCUCGAGUUGGAGAGAAGUAUGCGGAAUGCGCGGUGUAGCGGUGAAAUGCAUAGAUAUCGCGCAGAACUCCGAUUGCGAAGGCAGCAUGCCGGCUCCACACUGACGCUGAGGCACGAAAGCGUGGGUAUCGAACAGGAUUAGAUACCCGAGUA